CGCGACCUUUCCGCUGUAGCUGACAUGCAGGUGUGUGGCUUCUGUGUCCGGGACCCUGCAGGGGCAACUAAAGAGCGAGUCUGAUUUCCUGGAAUCCGUUCCCGGGAGGCCGAACUGCACGGCGCGGGGCGGUGCGGUAACGGCCUGGCUUCCCGGCCACGGCGCCCACGUGGGCUUGGCGGGCGCGAUGGCGGGGCGUUCGGGAGUCCCGCAGCGCCGCUCCGGGCGGGUCCGGCCGCCCUGGGCCGAGCUCACGGGCCGCGGCUCUACUUCCUGCAGGGCCACCGCCGCACGAGCUUGAGGUCCGCGAGGGCCGGGGCUCUACUUCCCGGCCCGUCUUGGAGAGAACUCAGACCCAGAAAGAUUUGGUUUCAGAUGGCUGACUCACUGAAAGGUGUUGAAGACAGGAGCAGCGCCCUGCCAUGAGGUUCAGGCCUUGUCUAGGUCGCGAGUGAGCAAAUGCUCGCCAGGUGCCGAGUGUUGGAGCCAGGAGCACUGCUGGUCUGCCAGGUUGUGGAACCUGAGUGCUGGGGUGCAGAGUGCGAGUUGGCAGUGGCCACAACUCGGCCCAGGAGAAGGCUGUGACCUCGGAGUAUGGUGAAGUCCCAAUGAGUGGCUGCCAUUGACUUGGGUUCUGAAAACGUAAAUGGCUUCAGCUUCGGUACAGAGACAUGCUGGCCUUGGUACCAGAAGCUCCAUUCAUCUCAAGGGAGCCGAAAGAUGUACUUUUCCCCAAGGACUAGUGAACUUCAUAUCAUUAAAUUCCUUAGCUUAAAUUCUUGAGCAUUGUCCCCUGCCAGCUUGUCUGACAACUUAAUUUACUUUUGUAAAUUGGCUAAGAAGGGGUGAGUUCUUUAAGCUACAAACUGUUCAUCUCCACUCCCACCCACAAAUAAAGUUCUCAUGUAGUUACCAUCAACUAUUACUGAAAUAAAGAAUGGUCUUUGGUUUUGGUUUGGAAAA